rnacentral:rRNA from 1 species
AUUGAGCGCUGGCGGCAUGCCUUACACAUGCAAGUCGAACGGUAACAGGUCUUCGGAUGCUGACGAGUGGCGAACGGGUGAGUAAUACAUCGGAACGUGCCUAGUAGUGGGGGAUAACUACUCGAAAGAGUGGCUAAUACCGCAUGAGAUCUACGGAUGAAAGCAGGGGAUCGCAAGCCCUUGUGCUACUAGAGAGGCAGAUGGCAGAUUAGGUAGUUGGUGGGAUAAAAGCUUACCAAGCCGAAGAUCUGUAGCUGGUCUGAGAGGACGAUCAGCCACACUGGGACUGAGACACGGCCCAGACUCCUACGGGAGGCAGCAGUGGGGAAUUUUGGACAAUGGGCGAAAGCCUGAUCCAGCAAUGCCGCGUGCAGGAUGAAGGCCUUCGGGUUGUAAACUGCUUUUGUACGGAACGAAAAGCCCCGGGUUAAUACCCUGGGGUCAUGACGGUACCGUAAGAAUAAGCACCGGCUAACUACGUGCCAGCCGCCGCCGUAA